UACCGCCAGCAGUAUAUAACCCGCAUCUCUGCCUGCUCCAGUAUCAGAUAUUUCCCCCGAGAAACAUCCGACUCUUACUAACAUGGGCAAGGAAAGGACCAGCGUCAACAUGGCCGUCGUCGGCUACUACUAGACUUUCCUUCAGCAGAUGGACGGCUAGUACAACAUGAAUAUGACCCGGCUCUGUACACGGACAUGCUCUGGACACGGACAACGCGAUGGAUUACAACCUCAUACAACUCAACCUGAUUCCAACUCAAUCUGAUUACAACUCCACCUGUUUUUCACGGCUAAAAUAGAAAAAAAUAAAUAAAAAUUUUCAGUCUA
rnacentral:lncRNA from 1 species